UACGUAGGGGGCAAGCGUUGUUCGGAUUCACUGGGCGUAAAGGGCGCGUAGGCGGUCAGCACAAGUCAGUUGUGAAAUCUCCGGGCUUAACUCGGAAAGGUCAACUGAUACUGUGCGACUAGAGUGCAGAAGGGGCAACUGGAAUUCUCGGUGUAGCGGUGAAAUGCGUAGAUAUCGAGAGGAACACCUGCGGCGAAGGCGGGUUGCUGGGCUGACACUGACGCUGAUGCGCGAAAGCCAGGGGAGCGAACGGG
rnacentral:rRNA from 1 species